rnacentral:rRNA from 1 species
UUUAUGGAGAGUUUGAUCCUGGCUCAGGACGAACGCUGGCGGCGUGCCUAAUACAUGCAAGUCGAGCGGAGUUAUUCCUUCGGGGAUAGCUUAGCGGCGGACGGGUGAGUAACACGUAGGCAACCUGCCUGCAAGACCGGGAUAACAUUCGGAAACGAAUGCUAAUACCGGAUACGCAGUAUCCUCGCAUGGGGAGACUGGGAAAGACGGCGCAAGCUGUCACUUGCAGAUGGGCCUGCGGUGCAUUAGCUAGUUGGCGAGGUAACGGCUCACCAAGGCGACGAUGCAUAGCCGACCUGAGAGGGUGAUCGGCCACACUGGGAC